GGGGAUUUAGCUCAGUGGUAGAGCGCUUGCCUAGCAUGCACAAGGCCCUGGGUUCGAUCCCCAGCUCCG
rnacentral:tRNA from 1 species